UUCUGCCUACGGGGGGCAGCAGUGAGGAAUAUUGGUCAAUGGGCGAGAGCCUGAACCAGCCAAGUCGCGUGAAGGAUGACGGCCCUACGGGUUGUAAACUUCUUUUGUCAGGGAGCAAUUGGGUCCACGCGUGGGCUUAGCGAGAGUACCUGAAGAAAAAGCAUCGGCUAACUCCGUGCCAGCAGCCGCGGUAAUACGGAGGAUCCGAGCGUUAUCCGGAUUUAUUGGGUUUAAAGGGAGCGUAGGUGGAUUGUUAAGUCAGUUGUGAAAGUUUGCGGCUCAACCGUAAAAUUGCAGUUGAAACU
rnacentral:rRNA from 1 species